rnacentral:tRNA from 1 species
GCCGGAGUGGUGGAAUUGGGAGACACGCUGUCUUGAGGGGGCAGUGGGUUUUUUACCCGUGCGGGUUCAAAUCCCGCCUCCGGCACCA